AACGAACGCUGGCGGCAGGCCUAACACAUGCAAGUCGAGCGCCUCGCAAGAGGAGCGGCAGACGGGUGAGUAACGCGUGGGAAACUACCCUUUGGUACGGAACAACUCGGCGAAAGCUGAGCUAAUACCGUAUGUGUCCUCCGGGAGAAAGAUUUAUCGCCAAAGGAUGUGCCCGCGUCGGAUUAGCUAGUUGGUGGGGUAACGGCCCACCAAGGCGACGAUCCGUAGCUGGUCUGAGAGGAUGAUCAGCCACACUGGGACUGAGACACGGCCCAGACUCCUACGGGAGGCAGCAGUGGGGAAUAUUGGACAAUGGGGGCAACCCUGAUCCAGCCAUGCCGCGUGAGUGAUGAAGGCCUUAGGGUUGUAAAGCUCUUUCGCCCGCGAAGAUAAUGACUGUAGCGGGAGAAGAAGCCCCGGCUAACUUCGUGCCAGCCGCCGCUGUAAAAC
rnacentral:rRNA from 1 species